GUGCUUUCAUUUCUUCGCUGCAGAAGAGGGAGGGUAGCACUCCCCUUCCUAAACGCAGAGCUGUGAGUAAAGUAUGCUCAGGCUUAUGUAUGAGUGCCACACAUUGACGACCUGCUAGGAGCUCUGGCUCUACAGAUUAAAGUCUCAUUAGACCUCUUGGGAAUAAAUAGAUUAUCAUGCAUGACUACUUUGGCUUUGCAUUGGUUAUUUUUAUUUUCCUUCCUCUCCCAUUCAUCUUGAUCGUAUUCUGGGUGGUGAUAUCAUUCCCAACCCACAGAUAAACCAGCUGUGACUGUUCUAUUCUAGUAUGAUAGAAUUGACCAGCACUGCCCCAGACUGAGUGAGUCUGCAACUCUGCUUCUCCAGUAGGAAGCAGGGACAGGAUGUGCCCAUAGCUUGGUCCACACAGUUCAACACGGUGUCCCUUCUCUGAGAGAAAGUGUGACAUUCUUACUAUGCACUUCAAGUGGAGCAAGAAGUAAAAUGCACUCUUGGUGACUGAUGAAGGACAGUCUUCUAAAUUGCAGAAGAAUUAGAUCCAGCUCUAAGGAUCGAUUUCUUGACCUCAGAGGUAUCUAAUCCUCAGAUGUCUUUGUUCCCGUAAUCACUGGUUUGGAUGUUUUGCUUGUGGAUUUGCAAAGGGAGGUUUCUGCUGAUGUCUGCUCGAAGGGGGAUGUGCACUUCGACUAAUGGAAGUCACCUCAGGAUGAUAAGGGAAGCGAGCCAUUUCGAAGAAUCAUAAGCCAACAAAUUCAACAGCAGAAACAGGAGAGAGAGGACAUUGAGGAGUCAUUUCAAGAGGGCCAGUAGCCGCUGCUUACUGGUCAGAGCCAUUCCAGACUUUAUGCUUGUAAUUGGCACUGUAAGAUGCUUUUGCUUUUUAUGUUUCCAAGUGAGCC
rnacentral:lncRNA from 1 species